rnacentral:tRNA from 1 species
GGGAGAGGCUUGCAAGCAACCUAGUCUGCUAAUCUUGGGUCUUCCCUGGUUGGAUCCCGGGGCUCCCCCA